rnacentral:rRNA from 1 species
GAUGAACGCUGGCGGCGUGCCUAAUACAUGCAAGUCGAGCGAACAGACGAGGAGCUUGCUCCUCUGACGUUAGCGGCGGACGGGUGAGUAACACGUGGAUAACCUACCUAUAAGACUGGGAUAACUUCGGGAAACCGGAGCUAAUACCGGAUAAUAUAUUGAACCGCAUGGUUCAAUAGUGAAAGACGGUUUUGCUGUCACUUAUAGAUGGAUCCGCGCCGCAUUAGCUAGUUGGGAAGGUAACGGCUUACCAAGGCAACGAUGCGUAGCCGACCUGAGAGGGUGAUCGGCCACACGAGAGCUUAGACACGGUCCUUACUCCUACGGGACGCAGCAGUAGGGAAUCUUCCGCAAUGGUCGAAAGCCUUACGGAGCAACGCCACGUGAGUUAUGAAGGUCUUCCGAUCGUAAAACUCUGUUAUGAGGGAAGAACAAAUGUGUAAGUAACUAUGCACGUCUUGACGGUACCUAAUCAGAAAGCCACGGCUAACUACGUG